CCUACGGGAGGCAGCAGUGAGGAAUAUUGGUCAAUGGACGAGAGUCUGAACCAGCCAAGUAGCGUGAAGGAUGACUGCCCUAUGGGUUGUAAACUUCUUUUAUAUGGGAAUAAAAUGUUCCACGUGUGGGAUUUUGUAUGUACCAUAUGAAUAAGGAUCGGCUAACUCCGUGCCAGCAGCCGCGGUAAUACGGAGGAUCCGAGCGUUAUCCGGAUUUUUUGGGGUUAAAGGGAGCGUAGGUGGAUUGUUAAGUCAGUUGUGAAAGUUUGCGGCUCAACCGUAAAAUUGCAGUUGAAACUGGCAGUCUUGAGGACAGUAGAGGUGGGCGGAAUUCGUGGUGUAGCGGUGAAAUGCUUAGAUAUCACGAAGAACUCCGAUUGCGAAGGCAGCUCACUGGACUGCAACUGACACUGAGGCUCGAAAGUGUGGGUAUCAAACAGGAUUAGAUACCCUAGUAGUC
rnacentral:rRNA from 1 species